UACGGGGGGGGUAAGCGUUGUUCGGAAUUACUGGGCGUAAAGGGCGUGUAGGCGGACUGUUAAGUCUGGCGUGAAAGCUCCCGGCUAAACCGGGAGAGGUCGUUGGAUACUGGCAGACUAGAGGGUGGUAGAGGCGUGUGGAAUUCCGGGUGUAGUGGUGAAAUGCGUAGAGAUCCGGAGGAACACCAGUGGCGAAGGCGACACGCUGGGCCAUACCUGACGCUAAAGCGCGACAGCAUGGGGAGCAAACGGG
rnacentral:rRNA from 1 species